GGCCGGGGCUAAGUCGGCGAGUCAGCCGAUCGUUUGGCCCGAGAGUUCGACCGUAGGAGUGUAACUCCCGUUGUCAUGGAUAUAUCGGCCCUUGUAAGCGUCCGACGCAUUGUCGACGAUCAGACCGUCGGUCCUCAGUGAGACGUUAAGUCCGAGUCAGGACGCCGGGGCCCGCACCUCUCAGCGAGCACCGACCAACAGUCGAAGAGUCGGAAUUUCAGACUCCGAAGUUUGAAACUGAAUUUGUAUUCCGAGUAAACGGGUACAAAGCUUACUGGUAAUACAACUUUAAGUUGUCGGCAUUCCAGGUUCGGGGAAUG
rnacentral:lncRNA from 1 species